AUUGAACGCUGGCGGCAGGCCUAACACAUGCAAGUCGAGCGGAGCGGCGGACGGGUGAGUAAUGCCUAGGAAUAUGCCUGGUAGUGGGGGAUAACGUCCGGAAACGGGCGCUAAUACCGCAUACUAUCAGAUGAGCCUAGGUCGGAGUAGCUAGUUGGUGGGGUAAAGGCCUACCAGGGCGACGAGCCGUAACUGGUCGGAGAGGAUGAUCAGUCACACUGGAAGUGGGACACGGUCAAGACUCCUCCGGGGGGCAGCAGUGGGGAAUAUUGGACAAUGGGCGAAAGCCUGAUCCAGCACUGCCGCGUGUUUGAAGAAGGUCUUCGGAUUUUAAAGCACUUUAAGUUGGAAGGCGUUACCAACAGAAUAAGCACCGGCUAACUUCGUGCCAGCAGCCGCGGUAAUUC
rnacentral:rRNA from 1 species